rnacentral:lncRNA from 1 species
AACAACUCGAGGGCGGAGGCCAGGGAACUGCCGCCCGGCUUUACGUAACUUGACCCACAGGCGGGCGGCGGCAGGUGGCUGCACCCGGCGAGCAAGGUGCUCGAAGCCCCGAGAACGCAGGACGCCGCUCGGGCAGCGAGACGGCCGGGAAGCACGAGAGGCCGGGGAGCGGCGGCGGCGGCCUCCUUACCUUUCCAGAUGCCCAGAGAGAGCUGGGACGUGUCCAAGUCCACCACAUAGUCCCCCAAGAACCGGUUCAACACGUCCACGACCACCGACUCGAAAACCAUGUUCCUCAGCCGUGGUGGGCACGGCAGCCGGCCCGUGCGCUCCUCCUCCCGCCGCCUUCCCCACGCCCCUCCCUCGAGAGUAACACGCUUCCCUGCAGAUAAGAGUUGGAGUCAGCCGGUCUGGAAACUGCUGAACACCCUCCAAGAAAUACUGGGAGUGCUGGACCCUUGACCCCUAUGCCUCCACCGAACCACUGACCUAAAAUAAAUUACAAUUACAGAUCU